rnacentral:rRNA from 1 species
UACAGAGGUCCCAAGCGUUGUUCAGAUUCAUUGGGCGUAAAGGGUGCGUAGGUGGCGCGCUAAGUCAGGUGUGAAAUUUCGGAGCUUAACUCCGAAACUGCAUUUGAUACUGGCGUGCUUGAGGACUGGAGAGGAGACUGGAAUUUACGGUGUAGCAGUGAAAUGCGUAGAGAUCGUAAGGAAGACCAGUGGCGAAGGCGGGUCUCUGGACAGUUCCUGACACUGAGGCACGAAGGCCAGGGGAGCAAACGGG